AUGAAACUAUGGAUGUCAAAAUUUGAAAUUCGAUAUCACCCCACACUUCGUUGCAGGCAUUUAGGUCAUUUUUCAUACUGAAGACAAGUCCUAUUAAUAUUUAUAGAGAGAGGGGAAAAAAAGCGCUCACUGCCUGCAGCACAAAACCAGGUCGGACUUCGAAGUGCGCGGGAACAUGCCGAUUACUGAAAGGGAGAGACUUUAGGGGUUUCCGAAGAAUCUCCAAAUAUCUUACCUCAUUUUCGCCGGAAAAUGCACCGAAGAAGGUCAUUCAUUUGAAAGAUUCGUGUUCUCUCCCGUUGCUGCUUGGAGCGCUUACAUUCUUCUCUCGUCUUAUCGUCGCUGAAAUUAGUUCAGUUUUGUUACCGGAAAACUGCUGUAGUAUGGCAAGUGCAGGAGAAUACCUUUCUCAAAUGGACAUUUCAGAAGAGGAAAAGGACAAGCUCGUAGCGGAAGCUAUACGCUAUAUCAUAUUCAAAACUCAUCAAAGUUCUGGGUGUCCAAUCAAAAGGGAAGAACUUACUCAGCUGGUAACGAAAAAUUAUCGGAAUCGGGGAUUGCCGGCUGUUGUGAUUGACGAGGCUAAAAAGAAGCUGUCGAGCAUUUUUGGUUAUGAGUUGAGGGAACUUCAAAGAACGCGGCUUUCAUCCACUGGCCAAGCGCAUUCUUCCCAACAAAAUGUUGCAGAUGCAAAAUCCUAUGUUCUCAUAAGCAAGCUUCCUGCUGAUAUUUACAGAAGGUAUGUUGAGGAUGUAAAUACAGCACACAUGACUGGUUUUACUUUUGUUGUAGUCAGUAUUGUACAUCUUGCCGGUGGCAAAAUUCCUGAAGAAAGCCUUUGGCAUCACUUGAGACGAAUGGGGUUGUCUGAAAGUGAUGAAAACCAUCCGGUCCUUGGAAACAUUAAGCAUGCAGCUGAGUUGGUUGUCCAGCAAAGGUACAGGAAAAACUGGUUUACAGGUGCCUUUUUACUCUUGCCCUGCUUUGUAGAUAUCUGCAGAAGGUCAAAGUAAAUGCUCCUGAAGGCAAUAUUACGUUCUACGAGCUUGCUGAGAGAGCUAUAGACGGACCAGUUAGUGAAAAGAUUAAAGAAUAUGUAGCACAGAUUGUGAAUACAAAUGUUACUGCAGCAGACAGCUAGCCAGUGUCUCAACUUUUCCUCCAGCUAACUUGAUAGAUCAAAUGGAUUACUUGCCAUUUUGGAACCAAAUGUAUCUAGUUAAUAUAUGUGCCUAAGGCUUGAUGAUUCCAAUUGAAUAUGUUGUAUUCAUUGCAUUAAAUACUGUUUGUUACUGUUAUUUAAUAUUAGGGUGGAAGAGCCCAUCACGGUCGGUAUCAGCUGAAUGGUUUUGUUCUACAUACUUGGAUGUGAUUGUACAUGUGGCUCUAUUUGUCCAUCC